CAUCCUCUAUAAUUUUUAAAUCAAAUGGUGGAUGAAAAUUAUCUAUCCAAUCUCUCGUGACCCGAACCAAACAUAGGAUAAGAGGGAUAAGAAAAGAAAAAGAUAUCGAGUUGUAGCCAUUUUUGUAGUCCACCUAGAGGAAGCAGCCACCAAGGCUGAUGACGAGCUUGAUGAAAACAAGAGUGAUUCUCUGAUCGACGUAGGUCACAUAUUGGAGGGUGGCAGCAUCCUCAACGAUCGAGAUGACAAGAACGUGGUUCCAUUGGGCUGAGGAGAUAGAGAAGAGGAANAGGGGGAUCACACUGACUACCACAACUUCUCCACUCACUGUGCUAUCCACCUCGCCACGCCAUUCAUGGAUCUUGCUAGCGAGGAUGCACCAUCAGUCUGCUACGCCACCCCUGCUGCUACUGCCGGAGAUAGCAUGUGCCAAAGGGGGGUUUUUAAAAGCAAUGAGAGAGGAAACAAAUGAACAGAUUAGUUAACAGGAUGGGUCAGAUUAGAUUAACAGAUUAUUCAUAUAUUAAAUAGAUUAAACAAAUCAGGUCGGAUUAUCUGUUUAUUAAACAUGGCAAGUUCGGAUCAUAGAUCCUGAUCUAUUUAAUAAAUAGGUCAGAUUCAAAUUUAACAUUUUCUGAUCCAACUCGCAUAUGACCCUCCCCGUUUAUGGCCUAACCCGACACGAUUGCCACCCCUAGAUCCUGAUUGCCACCCCUAGAUCCUGGCAAUGUUUUAUCAUACAUAAUAUCGAGCAAUAACUAAGGGUCCAUAUAAAUGAAUAACUCGCAAUGAUGAGAAUGCAAAUAGUGUAUAUAAUAUUUUAGCUCUUGGUCUAUCUGAACAAUCAAUUAUCAGCCUAUAAGCCAAACGCAAAUGAGGGUAAACCUGAGAAGUCUCAAAAACUAUCCUACCAAAUGUAUUUCAGCCUCUAUAAAAAAUAUGCAACAUUUAGGUGCUAAGCAAAGUCCCAACAAUUCAUCAUCCUGUAGUUCUUCACCUGGACAUUAGAAUUAUAAGAAGCGGUGGAUGAACCAACACAAAGGUUCUUGAAAGGGUUGCUCAACAGUCACACCAUAUACUUCAAAGUUUCCACAUGCUGUAUCAGCCAUCCAAUGUAGGCGUUACCAACAGCCUUUCCACCUAUAUUUUCAGGGAUAUACCCAUAUUCAUCACAUCAUUUUCCACGUGGAUGUCUGGCAUCCACAUUUGAAUCACUACUAGUACUGAACUUCAUGUUCAAGCAUGCAC
rnacentral:lncRNA from 1 species